GUGCUCGCUUUAACAGCACUUAUACUGAGAUUGGAAUGAUACAGAGAAGAUUAGCAUGGCCUCUUCACAAGGAUGACACACAAAUUCGUGAAGCAUUCCAUAUUAAA
ensembl:snRNA U6 U6 spliceosomal RNA